rfam:Schistosoma rodhaini strain Burundi genome assembly, scaffold: SROB_scaffold0016436
GCACAGCUGAAGAGUCCCACAAUAGGUCGAAACGGCCGUCCAGUGC